UGUGUGUGUGUGUGUGUGUGUGUGUGUGUGUGAGUGCCUCUUCCAGAUUGUGCAAGCAAUGCAGAGAUGUACAACAGCUUUUUACACAGUCUACAACAACAAUAAGCAGAGAGAUCGAUGCAGGUAACAUUUGAAAACACGGCACAGUUUUGUGCAGACAUCCACAGGCCCCAGACUCCCUGACCUGAUUCCAUAACCUUUCCUGUGGUGCCACUGUCGACGGUCUGUCUGCUCCCAAACGCAUCAGACACUGUACCCUGAGAAGAAAAGCUUCUUAAACCAGCAGCAGCAUAAAGAACAAAGGUGCAAACACACGCACCAAUACAGACAAGCAAUCAUGUUUAAAAGAGG